rnacentral:rRNA from 1 species
AUUGAACGCUGGCGGCAUGCCUUACACAUGCAAGUCGAACGGCAGCACGGGAGCAAUCCUGGUGGCGAGUGGCGAACGGGUGAGUAAUAUAUCGGAACGUGCCCAGUCGUGGGGAUAACGUAGCGAAAGCUACGCUAAUACCGCAUACGAUCUAUGGAUGAAAGCGGGGGAUCGCAAGACCUCGCGCGAUUGGAGCGGCCGAUAUCAGAUUAGGUAGUUGGUGAGGUAAAGGCUCACCAAGCCGACGAUCUGUAGCUGGUCUGAGAGGACGACCAGCCACACUGGGACUGAGACACGGCCCCAGACUCCUACGGGAGGCAGCAGUGGGGGAAUUUUUGGGACAAUGGGCGCAAGCCUGAUCCAGCAAUGCCGCGUGCAGGAUGAAGGCCUCGG